rnacentral:rRNA from 1 species
AUUGAACCCUUGCGGCAGGCCUAACACAUGCAAGUCGAGCGGUAGCACAGAGAGCUUGCUCUCGGGUGACGAGCGGCGGACGGGUGAGUAAUGUCUGGGAAACUGCCUGAUGGAGGGGGAUAACUACUGGAAACGGUAGCUAAUACCGCAUAAUGUCGCAAGACCAAAGUGGGGGACCUUCGGGCCUCAUGCCAUCAGAUGUGCCCAGAUGGGAUUAGCUAGUAGGUGGGGUAAUGGCUCACCUAGGCGACGAUCCCUAGCUGGUCUGAGAGGAUGACCAGCCACACUGGAACUGAGACACGGUCCAGACUCCUACGGGAGGCAGCAGUGGGGAAUAUUGCACAAUGGGCGCAAGCCUGAUGCAGCCAUGCCGCGUGUGUGAAGAAGGCCUUCGGGUUGUAAAGCACUUUCAGCGGGGAGGAAGGCGAUAAGGUUAAUAACCUUGUCGAUUGACGUUACCCGCAGAAGAAGCACCGGCUAACUCCGUGCCAGCAGCCGCGGUAAUACGGAGGGUGCAAGCGUUAAUCGGAAUUACUGGGCGUAAAGCGCACGCAGGCGGUCUGUCAAGUCGGAUGUGAAAUCCCCGGGCUUAACCAGGGAACUGCAUUCGAAACUGGCAGGCUAGAGUCUUGUAGAGGGGGGUAGAAUUCCAGGUGUAGCGGUGAAAUGCGUAGAGAUCUGGAGGAAUACCGGUGGCGAAGGCGGCCCCCUGGACAAAGACUGACGCUCAGGUGCGAAAGCGUGGGGAGCAAACAGGAUUAGAUACCCUGGUAGUCCACGCCGUAAACGAUGUCGAUUUGGAGGUUGUGCCCUUGAGGCGUGGCUUCCGGAGCUAACGCGUUAAAUCGACCGCCUGGGGAGUACGGCCGCAAGGUUAAAACUCAAAUGAAUUGACGGGGGCCCGCACAAGCGGUGGAGCAUGUGGUUUAAUUCGAUGCAACGCGAAGAACCUUACCUGGUCUUGACAUCCACAGAACUUUCCAGAGAUGGAUUGGUGCCUUCGGGAACUGUGAGACAGGUGCUGCAUGGCUGUCGUCAGCUCGUGUUGUGAAAUGUUGGGUUAAGUCCCGCAACGAGCGCAACCCUUAUCCUUUGUUGCCAGCGGUCCGGCCGGGAACUCAAAGGAGACUGCCAGUGAUAAACUGGAGGAAGGUGGGGAUGACGUCAAGUCAUCAUGGCCCUUACGACCAGGGCUACACACGUGCUACAAUGGCAUAUACAAAGAGAAGCGACCUCGCGAGAGCAAGCGGACCUCAUAAAGUAUGUCGUAGUCCGGAUUGGAGUCUGCAACUCGACUCCAUGAAGUCGGAAUCGCUAGUAAUCGUAGAUCAGAAUGCUACGGUGAAUACGUUCCCGGGCCUUGUACACACCGCCCGUCACACCAUGGGAGUGGGUUGCAAAAGAAGUAGGUAGCUUAACCUUCGGGAGGGCGCUUACCACUUUGUGAUUCAUGACUGGGGUGAAGUCAUAACA